rnacentral:misc_RNA from 1 species
UUCUCCAACAUUGAUGCUGGAAUUGAGGCCAAAGACUGCAUUAAAAUUUACCUGGUUUCUAGCAAGGAACAAGUGGGUGCUUCAGAAAGUUACUGCAUUGAUCCAGUUGACUUGAAUGGCUUUUUUGAUGAGGAUGGGAAAAUAUAUGGUUACCAUGGGUUGAAGAUUACCAUCUGGAUAAGCAGCAUAACAUUUCAUGCUUAUGCUGAUAUUAUAUAUCAGAGUCAAUCUGAUGGAGCAAAAGGGAUUACAGACCUCAAAUCUUCUCUUCAGAGGAUUUUUGCUGAGACUCUUGUGGAGAGUAAAGACGACUUUCUAAAAUCAUUUUCAAUCGAGAGUCAUUUGAUUAGAUCCAUUGUCUCAACUGGGGAGAUACUGCAACAGAAAGGUUCCAACGAACAUAUCCAUGAUUCUGUUAGUCAUACUCAUAACGGGGCAGCUACUUCGGAUGUGAAGGUUGUUCGCAUGGUGAUAGGAAAUGCAGGUACUGGACACCUGUACAGUCGCUUAAUACCUCUUGUUCUUCUUCUUGUUGAUGGUAGCAACCCUAUUGACGUGACUGACCCAGGAUGGGAGUUAUAUGUACUGGUUCAGGAGAUAAAUGAUGAGCAGGGGGACACUCAACAUAGAGUGCUGGGUUUUACAGCAGUUUAUCGCUUCUAUCAUUACCCUGAUAAAACACGACUACGACUCAGUCAGAUAUUGAUUUUGCCUCCUUACCAACACAAGGGUUAUGGUUGUCGCCUUGUUGAGGUGGUCAACAAUGUUGCAAUAUCUGAAGAUGUUUAUGACUUGACAGUUGAAGAACCAUUACAUUACUUCCAGCAUGUGCGCACCUGUGUUGACGUACAACGUCUGCUUGUUUUUAAUCCAAUCCAAGAUGCAAUUAAUUCAGCUGUUUCAAAUCUGAAACAAGGAAAGCUAUCAAAGAAAACUCAUGUCCCUCGAUUCAUGCCACCUUCAACUGCAAUUGAGGAUGUUAGGAAAACAUUGAAAAUCAACAGGAAACAGUUUCUUCAGUGUUGGGAGGUUUUAAUUUAUCUAGGCCUUGAUCCUGCUGACAAGGGCAUGGAAGAUUUUGUGACGAUUAUUUCAAAUCGUGUGAAAGCUGAUAUCUUAGGAAAAGAUUCUGGAACUGGUGGAAAGCAGGUGAUUGAAGUCCCGAGUGAUUAUAAUCCAGAGAUGUCAUUUGUCAUGUUUAGGUCAGGAAAUGUGGAAGGUGGUAGUCUUCAGAUGGAUGAAAAUCAAACAAAUCAGAAAGAGCAGUUGCAACAAUUGGUGGAUGAAAGGGUGAAGGAGAUAAAGUUAAUUGCACAGAAGUUGCGUCCUGUCUGAACUAGUUUGGAAGACAUUCUAGUGGAAAUGGCCUAUGGUAUGUUGAAUUGUUGAUGCAUCUUCAAAAGAUGUUAAUGAUGAGGCCCUCGAGAUGCUCUAGGUUUAGUGAUUGAGCUGUACCUUCCAUUUCUGAUUAAGGUUUACUGUAGAAUAGCUACAGAUGACUGACCUUUUUUAUUU